GAAAACAUGCUUAACCCACUGAUGCUUUGCUGCAACUGCUUCAUUGGCUUAUCAUCUCAAUAAACAAGAUGUGAGAAUGGAAAAUAAUCCUACAUGAUAGCGGUGGUUUAAUAACAUUACAAAAUACAUAUAGCAGAUAUACCUAGACCACGUAAUCAAACGAUUCUGCAGCAACUUAUAAACAUAUCAUUAAUUGAUAGUUAACAAAGUGCUAUUUGUGGAGCGCAAUUUGAAACCCCAGCAACAUUAUGCAAUGAACAAUACUCCAACAAGCAUAAAUAAGGAAUUCGCUGAAAUGUUUGUUCUGUAUGCGAUAUUACGCACAUUGAACAGUGACAACGGAAACCAGCCGCUCUAAUAGCAUAAUUAUUGUUCCACUAAUGUUAGAUCAAUUAGCUUAAUAAUGGGGCAACAAAGUGCACAGCACAAAGCCAACACAGGGAUUGGGACUUUAAAGUUAAAAGAGAACGCACGAUACGCGGAAUUCGGUGCUUUCCGUUGCCCAUACCAAUCAUGUGAUAGGGAAUGUGAAGAGCAUAUUAUGGGAAAACGGGCAUGCAAGUGCACUUACUUCGCUUGACGGCAUCCUCGUAGCUUAGGCAAGCCCUUUUCGAGUCUUUUGCACCCAUUUUUUUAUAUUUUUACAUAGUCUCUGGUCACUUAUAACAA